AUGUUCAUGAAUUUAAACUUUUGUUUUCAGGCAACUACUCUUAGAGUGAGGAAAUUAGAAGAAAACAUUGAAGCAGAAAGAGCAGCGCAUUUGGAAUCAAAAUUUAAUUCUGAAAUUAUUCAGUUACGGAUUCGAGACCUUGAAGGAGCUUUGCAAGUAGAAAAGGCCAGUCAAGCAGAAGCUGUUGCUGAUUUGGAAAUGAUCAAGAAUGAAUUCAAAGAAGUUGAAAGUGCAUAUGAGCGAGAAAAGCAUAAUGCACAAGAGAGCUUUGCAAAACUAAAUUUGUAA
rnacentral:lncRNA from 10 species